AUACUUACCUGGCAGGAGAGAUACCAUGAUCACGAAGGUGGUUUUCCCAGGAUAAGGUUUAUCCAUUGCACUCCAGAUGUUCUGACCUCUGUGACACCCCCAUCAAAAACAAAAAUAGGCAAACAAAUCAAACAAAUGGGCAGCUCAGGGAUAAUAAU